rnacentral:rRNA from 1 species
UAGAGCGGCGGACGGGUGAGUAACACGUGGACAAUCUCGCCCCCCGGGCCCGGGAUAGCCCAGGGAAACCUGGAUUAAUACCGGAUGAGACGGGACCCGCGAUGGCGGGAUCCGGGAAAGGCGCUGCGGCGCCGGCCGGGGGAUGAGUCUGCGCCCAUUAGCUAGACGGCGGGGUAACGGCCCACCGUGGCGACGAUGGGUAGCCGGCCUGAGAGGGUGGACGGCCACAUUGGAACUGAGACACGGUCCAGACUCCUACGGGAGGCAGCAGCUAAGAAUCUUCCGCAAUGGGCGAAAGCCUGACGGAGCGAACCGCCGCGUGAACGAAGAAGGCCGUGAGGUUGUAAAGUUCUUUUCGGGAGGGGGAACAACCGUGGCAGGGAAUGGCCGCGGGAUGACGUGAAUCCCGGAAUAAGCCCCGGCUAACUACGUGCCAGCCGCGGC